rnacentral:tmRNA from 1 species
GCCAAUUCCAAGCGCGAUUCCUCCGCCUUCGCCCUCGCUGCCUAA